AGGAAGUUUGAGGCAAUAACAGGUCUGUGAUGCCCUUAGAUGUUCUGGGCCGCACGCACGCUACACUGAUGUAUUCAACGAGUCUAUAGCCUUGGCCGACAGGCCUGGGUAAUCUUUGAAAUUUCAUCGUGAUGGGGAUAGAUCAUUGCAAUUGUUAGUCUUCAACGAGGAAUUCCUAGUAAGCGCGAGUCAUCAGCUCGCGUUGACUACGUCCCUGCCCUUUGUACACACCGCCCGUCGCUCCUACCGAUUGAAUGGUCCGGUGAAAUGUUUGGAUUGCAGCGACGCGGGCGGUUCGCCGCCCGCGACGUCGCGAGAAGUCCAUUGAACCUUAUCAUUUAGAGGAAGGAGAAGUCGUAACAAGGUUUCCGUAGGUGAACCUGCGGAAGGAUCAUUGUCGAUUCCUGCCUAGCAGAGAGACCCGCGAAUCGGUUAUACACACAGCGCGCUUGGGGCGCGAUCGCGCGUUCGGCCUGCCGGCCCCUCGCGCGCGCCGCGGCCAACAAACGAACCCCGGCAUGGACAACGCCAAGGAAAAUAAAAAGGGAAGGCCCGGCCCAGUAGGGGGACGCGGCUCCCGUUGUACAUACAAAAACGACUCUCGGCAACGGAUAUCUCGGCUCUCGCAUCGAUGAAGAACGUAGCAAAAUGCGAUACUUGGUGUGAAUUGCAGAAUCCCGUGAACCAUCGAGUCUUUGAACGCAAGUUGCGCCCCAAGCCGUCAGGCC
rnacentral:rRNA from 1 species